rnacentral:rRNA from 1 species
AUGAAGUUGGAAUUGCUAGUAAUCGCGAAUCAGAAUGUCGCGGUGAAUACGUUCCCGGGCCUUGUACACACCGCCCGUCACACCAUGAGAGUCGAUAACACCCGAAGCCUGUGAGCUAACCGUAAGGAGGCAGCAGUCGAAGGCGGGGUUGAUGAUUGGGGUGAAGUCGUAACAAGGUACC